AGUGUUACUUCUACUUUUUGUUGUUCUGAAGUAGUUGUUUCAGAAUUUAAUAUAUAGAGUUAACAAUAGAACACUGCACAUUCUUCUCUAGAUGCCUGACAGCUCAGUGGCUUAAUAAUUAACUUUCUGGGGACUGAGACUUUGUUUUUAUCCAAGAAAAAUGUGUUCAGCCUAUCCACCAAUGAGCCCUGUUCUUGGCAGCAUGUAUUUCCACAAGCAACAAUCUACAGUGAUUAUGAGUAAGUGACUGGGGUGAGUCACUCCUUAUUCUAAGAAAAUGCAAACUAUUUCUGAGGUUAGGAUCACAGUCACCCAUUGGGCUGCAUCUCUAGCUUUAAAAAUGGGGUAGGAGCAAAAAGGGAGAGGAGAAUUGUUGUUGCUCCUAGUUCUCAGUUUGUUGGUUGGGGUUUUGUUUUGGGUUUUUGUGUGUGUGUUGCCCAGCCAGAUUUAAGAACUAGCCUUUGUUAUUUGGCAAAUGCUUAAUUCAGGACAAGGGCUGGAAUAAAUGUCUGGUGGCCUAUGUGUCAGUCUGCCAACUCCUCUAUGCUGAAAGCAACAAUAACAGACCCCUGCUGACAUCAACUGGCUUGGAAUGCAGUUGUUGCUAAUGCUAUUUUAUCUGUAGAGUGAUGGCAAGAUUUCAGUAUAAGAUCUCAGCAAACAUAACCACCUCUGAAAUUCUGCUGCUAGCAGAUGCUGCCUGUGUGAUUGCUUCCACCUGCUCUUCCCAAAGAUGCUGAAAGGAGGGCAGAGGCUUUGCAGUCCUGUUGUUCAAUAGCAUGUCUGCUCACUUUCUUCUACAGAAAGAACAACUUAAACUGUAGAAAAGCUAGAAAUAGUUAGAUUAGGAGAAACCUACUCUUUAUUUCCCUGUGACUUAGACUGAAACAUUCUUUUAAGCAAAGCUGCUUCCUGCUGCUCUAUACAAAAUGAUUUAAAUUGCACAGAACUACACUGGUAUAUGAACAAAAAGGAACAGCUGUAAGUGUACAGGAAAAUGAAUUCGCUAGUUAACAAUAUUUCACAGAUCUGUUUCUAAAUCUAUUUUACAGCAAGGCAAACUGGGAUACAAGAAAGCUAUCCACAGGUGUUCAAAAAGUAGCUGGCAGAAUUAACCUGGAGCCUGGGAAUCCUGAUGUCCAUUCCUGUAGUUAACCUAUGGCACAUCUGGUCAUGAUAAUCCUAUAUUCAGCGAAAGGAUAAUCUCAGGAGUAUUGAAUCUCUUUUGUGAUAAGGAAUCAGGACACCUGGAAUGUCUUUGAGGGAAUUGCACGGGCAACGUACUCCUGCACAAGGAAGGGAUCCCAGGUCCUGAUCCCAGCACUCCCCUGCUCUUGGGUGAAGUGACACUGGAACUGCAGUGCCACCACAGGAGGAAGCACUGAAAAUUUCCACCUGGAAGAAGAGACAUUUUGGGAGGAAGGAGAUGUGAGUGCACACGGACCCGCAGUGGGGAGGGGUCUCAUUUUAAAGGAGAAAAGCUUUAAGAGCCACAUCCCACUUCGAAGGCCUUCAAAAAGAUCAGUUCCUUGCCCCAGAUUUGAUGUGAUGAGGCCCAGGCUCUGAGCUCUCUCAGUAUGGCACCUCUAGACACACUAACUGCUUAGUUCUGUGUGUAACUUCAGAAAGUCAACCUCCUGGGCUGUGCUGAAGCUACAUCAUAAACUCUGUGAAGCACAGGUCAUCUUUUCAUCACAGGUUUGGAUCCUAAUCCAUUGGCUGGAUCCUGAUCUAUGACUACCCAUAUGAUAACACUUUACAGCUUGCCUCAACAGGAAGAAGCCAGUGCAAUGGCAUGACCAAAUGAGUACAGAAUAUUAGUAAGGUUGUUAGUAAGCAUAGGUGUGUGGUUUAUUAGCUCAAUGUUCCGACGUAAACUUUACUGUGGCAACCUCUAUAGCUUCUCCCACCCUCCAGAGGCCCCUUUGACCCUGCAGAAAGCUGCCCUCACUUGUGGAGCUCCCCUCACAGAAAGUGCUGGGAAAACUCUGGAAAGAGUCACCUUUUCUCUGGGAUGGGUGUUAAAUUAGGCCACACAGCACUGAUGCAAGGCUAUUCGUAUUUUAUUUUUUUAAAUUUCGACAAUGGCAGCUCGCAGAACUGGGCCGAUGAUUUUUAUAAACUGAAGAUAAGGAGUGAAUUGGUCCAAAGUUUAACAGUUUCUAUGGCCCGUCUGUCACACCCUACCCACGCAGAAUACCGCCCCGGAUCAGCAGCACUCCUCACUAUGACUACACGCAUCUAAGCCUGGCUUCACGUCCCCACCUGCACGGGCUUGGGUUCCCAUUUGUACCUUCGAUCUCCUGCUCCAACCUCCCCACUACUUGUCACCUUCCCCCGUGUCACUCCCGUCACCCGUGCCAAUCCACCCCGGUGCUCCCGGCCCCAACUCUCCCGAGGAGAACCCCAAGCAUCGGCGCCACCUGAUGCGGUUCCCCCUCAGCAUCCCCGGGCGGACCCCGCGGCGGGGCGGGAUCCCCCGGGGGCAGGCCGGGCCGGGGGAGGGGAAGCGCGGCGGCCGUCUGUCUGUCUGUCUGUUAGCCCGCGGUGUGGCUCCGUCCCCGGCUUUGUUGUGCUCGCCGCCCGGGCUCCGGGCGAGGG